UAGUACACAGUACAGGCUCCCGUCGCAACUCAGAUGUUAUUUGCUAAUUAACAAAACUAAGUUUCCCAGACACAAAUGGGAAUUAGUGGGGCUUAACUGCAUUUUGAUUUUGGGUUGUUUAAAAAUUUUCCUGACUAAUCUCUUCAUUACAAGUAUCAGAUGUUCUUCAAGGUUAGCUUGUGCGAUGCAGCACGGAAAGCAACUGAAUCUGCUCUCUGGUGCCAGUGACUCUAGAGCCCCUGGCCCUCUUUGGUGUGUAUCUACCGCUUUGGAGCACAGGUACCUGCAGUUGCGUGGCUUUCAUUGACAGGUGUAUAUGAAACGAGAUGUGUUUUUUAAUGUGGUUGGCUCAGUUUCAUUUUGAGGGGUUUACAGUGUUGAUCUCAAAUCCCAGCAGAGUUUAUACAAUGUGAUCAUACUGAAAUGAGAAUUGGACAGAAGUGAGAAAUUUGCUUAUUCAGAGAUCCAGCUGUCAAAUGCUCUCGAAGUUUCUCUGCUGGAUGUGGAUACCACUGCUGGGAGCACAAUAAAGAAGAAAUAUUUGUGUUAGGAAUUAUGCUGUCUUUAGUCAGCAUCUCUUUCUAACUACCUCAUGAACUAGAACUUGCUCCAUCGCUGCACGAGCUCAUGAGUGGAUUGGCAUUGCAGCAGUGAGUCAAAACAUUACAAGGCACUUAGAGUUGCCCCUCUGGCUAAAUGGCUAAAGCCAUUUUAAGAGAGAGAGGGUAUGAAUGGGACCUACAGCAAAGGUCCUUUCUUCUUUGUAGAUCACUGAAGAAUGGAGAGCCUCACCCUGCCUGUGUGAACUUGGCUAUCGAUCGACAUAGCAGCAGGACCUGGGGUUCCUUGCAAGGUGACUGUUGUGAAAUAGAGUGAAGCUUCCAGUGCAGUAGCACACUUGUGUAUGUUUGGAUUCAGAUGGGAAUAUGCAUAUUUUCUAGAUGUCAUCGUAUCUCCAGUGGGAUAAUGACCAAGGAAACUGCUGAGCCAUGGAUGGAUUGCAGGGAUAUGUCAUGAGAAAGCCAUUUAGAGUCAUCUGCCCACAUGCUGUGAUCCUGGCUCACAUUUUCAAAGAAAAGUUGCAGACGGAGGAGAUCAUGAGUGCUCCAAAGAACUUAGCUAUGAUAUGAAAGAUUAUUCCAAAGGAAAGAAUUUACUGCUUGGGAAGAUUCACGUACAACCAGGAUGGGUCCCCCAUGCAGACUUUCAGGUUGGAGGAGGCAAAUGGAAAGAAUUUUCCACACCUAAACCUGAGAGUCAUCCAUACUACACGUGUUUAUCGAAUUCAGCUGGAUGGAAGCCCUGUCCCCUGAAGAACACAGCUGUGAAGAGCCAGAAAACAGAUCAUUACGUCAGGUAACUACAUUGAUGUGAGCUGAUAACAGAAAUGGAUGCAGAAAUGAUUCUCUGCCUUCUGGACUGCACUGUGAUGGGAAAGAUGGUAAAGAAAAUUUUUGCUGUGCAGAUUAUGAUUAAGAUAGAUAAUAAAAGUCCUUCUAAAGAUGGCACUGUCGUUGUCUUUCUCAACAUUCUGAUGUACGUUGAGGCGCGGUUGCUGACUAAAGUGGCAACACAGAUAAUCAAGUUUUUAAAGGCCCUAAUUCAUAAAUCUAAUAACAGCACUAGGAGAAGCUGAGGUGUAUUCUCUUCCUACUAGUGUAUCAUUAACGGAACUGGUAUCACAUUUUCCUUGUAAAAUGGCUAAUUCUGCAGUAGGGCUGAAAAAAAGAUAUGGUUUGACUUCCAGGCUCCAGUGGGCUGACCAUUAGGAAGGAAGCCUUCCUGCUGCCUUCACUAGGAAGAAAGGGACACUGCAUGAGAGACACUUUUCAAAGCAGUGCCUCAUCUUCAGCCCUAUAUUGAGGGAUUUUGUGGCCUGCAGCUAAGGGAUACAUAGUGGUGUCAUUCAGAAAGAGGGUGCACUGGCUGUGAGCUGACACAUGCCAGUUUUGAGUUGCCAUGCUCCCCAAAAGGGGCUUUGCCAAAAAAAGGUGAAUUCAUCACCUAUUAGAACACAUUUUGGCUGUACUAUGCAAGCAAUUUAGUAGAGUCUUUGCGUAUGAGUACUGGCAGUCUCUGAAACAAAAGCAGCAGGGUUGCUUUGUGUGCACUGAAGAAUUUUUGCUAUUGACUCCUCUGGAGUCACGGUUCUUCACCAGAUCCGUAUUCUGAAGGCCUAAAGUGCUCUUCAAAGGGCUACUGCAAAUUUAUAAAUCAUAAUCACAGUCCUCAGUUGACAUGACAACCAGCACCACUCCUGCUUAGGAUCUAGCCCUGCAAACCUGUAACCCUCUGUCUGUACCACGCUCAGUACUCACCCCUGAGACUGCUUUAACCCUACCUUUUUUUUAGUGGAACUUUUGUUGACAAUGAAGAACAUCUUUUUUAAAAAAAGCGUUAGAAGGAAAAUUAUAUUCCUGGGUACUUAAUGUUUCUGUGUUUGGGCUUCAGACACUCUGGGACAUGCUGAUUUGUUUAAUAGCUACAGUCCUUGCUGGAAUGUUUUUAAAUUGCCUAAACAUUCCUACUAGUUUUACGGGUUUAUAAUCUGUUUUUUUUAUGUUGGUACAAAUUUGACAGUGUACUUUCCAAGCUUCCAUUAAAUAGAGCCAACUUGCUAUUGAUAGAGGAAUAUCUCUGAAAUAGCUUUCUGAUGUCUUGCAGUGGAAGACUUUUCAUUAACUCUGAUUAGAAAAUGAAAAACAACCUACCGUGUAUUUCUUUUUUCAGUUCUUACUGUGCCCUAAUGCCUGUGGGACUCCUGCUGGUGGAAAGGGGAAGAGAGUGAAAAAGUCCAGGGAUAAUUUAAUGGAGAAAGGAAUGUAUUUUCACUGUGCAUUGUGUUUGCCAGUUACUGUUGUUAUGCGGCCAUCAAAGAUCUCAAUGCUUUGAAACUUCUCGCUUAGAGGCUGCAGUAUGUUGGUGCUUUCUUUACAUAACUACGCUUUACCAGCUCUUCAGGUGUCAGUGCUGCUUUAAAAAUCAGUAUAGAAAACUUUUGUAACUACACCAUCUGUUUUCAGUUUUCCUUAAUUUGGCAUCAGCCAAGCUGCUACAGACCAGGUGGUUAAAAGGGACAGAGGUAAGCCUGCUGCAUUUUGGGGAUUUAAGCCUACCUUUUCCCCCUGUAAAUGCUGACCUUUUCAAAAUGAGUUUGUUUCCCCCACCCCCUGCAAAAGUGGAACGUAAAGCAAACAAAAAAUGUUCGCUACUUUUAUCAGUGGAGCCUAAUUCCAUGCAUUCUGGCUGCUUUUCACUGACAGAAAAAAUAUUCCAAAAUAAUUAGAGCUUGGAAAUGACACUCUGUAUCACUGUAACAAUAACAGCUAACUUUGCCUUUUGCAAAAUAUAUAUUUUCUCAAGGAAAUUUCAACCUAAUAUGCCAAUCACCAGUUAUGAUGACCUUGGGAAAAUCUAGCCUAAAGAAAGUAGUGGAUGUUUGUAGCUGUUUUGAAAUCUCCUGACUGGAGCAGUUUCCCAAUGAGGAACGUUGUGCUUGUGUUACACCUUGUAGUGGGGUUGUCUCACUCGCCCUGUCUACAGCCUGGGACCUGGAGACUCUAAUGAGGGAGCAUGGGCAGCUUCAGUCCCCUCUGCUGAGGAGCUCCCUGGGGAAGGAAAAUGUGCUGCUCAUCAAAAAUUGGUGUAACCAUGGUCUGAUUAUCUGACUGAUUACAGGACUAAACAGAGUUGGGUGGGUACCAUUAUAUGCCGUGUAUACUGGUUUCCUCUGUUCCCAGUAGCCUGAGCCUUGGGAACAGUUAGUGAGAUGGUUGGGAAGCUUGACGAGCUGCUGAAUUCUUUCUUGUCUAGUUUUCCUUGUCUAAGUUGCCUCAAAUUAUCAAUGAACAUUCUUACGCAUACAGAUGACAAUUUUCACGCUGAAAAUGCAGUUAGAUACUUCUCAGGGUUUGCGGCUGGUUGAGCACCAAUGAAGGAAAUCCAAAUGGAUUUUGGUAACUGAGAUGGGAAAGGAAAGUAUCUGGAAAUGCCAUUUCUAAUGCUUUCUGGAAGAUAUUUCCAUCAGACCAUGCAAAGAACUCUUGUUAUAUAUAUUAUGAAAGAAACAGAAGAAUAUAAAAUUUUUUAAAAGUCUUUUAAAAUUGAAACUUUUUGAGAGCUUAAU